CGUGAUUCACAGCAGCAGCCGGGUCUUGCAAUGGUGUCCCUUGUGUUGUGGUGCUCGCGUGUUUGUUGGACUCCGUGCUUUCCUCAGAACUCUCUUUUAAGGUGAAGAGGAAGCAUAACUGCCAAAGUCCCGCCCGAGUCUGUUUUCAAGAGCGUGUACUCGUACAAUCAGCCCCGAGGUUCACUACUUGAGGUCCUGGAUGGUCGAACCUGUUCAUUCUCAUCUGUGUUUAUACAGCAACAGCACCACCAUUACCAACAACAACAACGACAAAAACAACAAACUACUACUACAACUACUACUACUACUACUACUACUCAUCGUCGUCGUAGUCGUCGUAACCGUCGUCGUCAUCGUUGGCGCCACUGUCACCUUACAUUUCAAAGGUACUUCUACUGCUACUAUCACUACCACCAUCACCGCCACCACCAUCACCACCACUACUACCAAAAAGAGUAAGAAGAAAAAAGAAAAUUGCCCGUAGGAGUGAUCACAUAACAACAACAACAACAACAACAACAGCAACAACAACAGCAUUACCUUCGAAAUUACACGCCGAAGAUUCAUCAGCUCUUCACUUGAGGCGUUCCGAUGCGAUCCUUCCUCCCUCGCGGCGUGUCCUCGUGGGAGCUGAGGCGCGGGGAGUCAAGUGGAGGCUUGCAUAAUUCAUCACCCACCGCUAUUGCUGCCUGAUAUUUACGCAUUUAUAGAAUAUUGCAUCGAAUUGGGAGGAAGUAUGAAUUUUAUUGCAGCCAAAAAGAAAUGUAUUAUUCUUUUUUUGUUUUUUCCUCUUUUUAAGGCUUUGAAGCGUCAAUUCUUUUUUUUUUGUUCAUGAGUAUUUAAGAUUUUUCAGGAAUACGUGCAUUGUUUUUUUUAAUUUUUAGUUUUUUUGUUUGUUUUUUGUUUAUUUUUCUCCUUUCAUGUUUUUAAUUAUCAGCCUCCUCCUUUUUCUCCUCCUCCUCUAUUUACACCAUCUUUUUCUCCUCUUUUCUUUUCUUCCUCUUUUCUUUUUCUCCUCUUUUCUUUUCUUUUCUUCCUCUUUUCUUUUUCUUCUUCAUCUUCUCCAGCAUUCUUGUUGUUCCUGCUGAUUCAUCUUAAAUUAGUAUUCUUGCAAUCCAGAUAAGAGAGAGAGAGAGAGAGAGAGAGAGAGAGAGAGAGAGAGAGAGAGAGAGAGGCCACAUCCACACUAUUGGAGAAAACUUUAAUUCUUCCCCAAUAUCAGAGAGAGAGAGAGAGAGAGAGAGAGAGAGAGAGAGAGAGAGAGAGAGAGAGAGAGAGAGAGAGAGAGAGAGAGAGAGAGAGAGAGAGAGAGA